GUACCAUGUUUCGCUUCCAGGUUUCCGGCGCAUCUAGGAGGAAUCACAGGUAGCUAAUUUGUUGGUAAGUAUUGGUCUCAUUUGUUUUUUAGGUGUUGUCGUGACUUGGCCUUUGGGUUGCCAGCCAGCUCAUGCCGGCCACAGGUGAAGAGUAGGCGUUGGUGUGAGGUAAGUAGAAUCCUGCAAGGAGAGGAUGAUUUGCCAGGCAGGAAUCCCGAUAUUCAUCUGUGUGUUUUUAUUUUCAGGUAUGGGCAGGUUGGAGUGAAAGCCCAGUAAGGAGUUGACUUUUCCAGAGCGACCUCGACAGUUCAUGUUUUGUGCAUCAGGAUUGGAGAUGUCGGAUCCGAAGGCGCCGACCAGAAGGACUCCGCUGGUGUGAAUUUGAUGAGAAAUUCGACAGCGUCAGUCCUGGAUUGCUCCUGUUUGGAUCCCGCAUCAAUGUCAUCAGCUGACCGAUGACCAAAUUUAGCUGCUGCAUCAUGGCCAUGAGGUCUCGAUAUAUUGGCUGCAUUUGACCAGGAGUAUCUGCUUCUUGUGGCAGUCGUUGUUUUAGGGGAGUGUUUUGUUUUUGUGUUGUGUAGUGGUGUUUAUUGUUGUUGUAGUAGCUUUUACUUUUGUAUCGUGUUGUAUUAUCAUUUUGUUUGUUAUUAUUAGUAUUAGGUUUAAUGUUUAUUAACGUUUUGUUUGUAUUUUCCAGUUUUGUGUUCAUAGCAGAGUUCGAGCAGGAGACGGUCGUGGAGUUUUGGCUUAUUUCGCCAAAAUAUUGCGUCGAGGGCACCCGGGGGAAAUGCCAGUCAGCCUCUCUUUUAAAAGUUGACGCAUACUGGAUUGGGGUUUCUCUUGUGUUGGCAAUCCUUGGUGUCGUGAGUGCCGGCACAUUUCAUACAGGCGACCUGACCAUGGCAGUAGUUCCUUGUAUGUCCGAACGCCUGGCAUUUGUGGCACUGUGCCGGGGUCAGGCGCCUGUGGAAUUUUUCAAUUCUCACUUGGUAAGGGCCUAGAAGUUUUAGAGUGCGUCAUUGCGGCUGAGUGGUCUUCAUUGGAGUAGCAGGUUUAGGUUUUCUAAUUGGGCGAGCAGCGGGCCAACGUCUGGGAUGCGGGAGAUCCAGAUGUCCGGAAUCCUCUCGCUUCGAUGACCGCUGUGAUCAGAAGCAGAACGGCCGUCAUUUACGGAUUGCUCGUCUCUCCUCUCACCUUGGUUGCACGUCGCAAUGGAGCUAGUCGUAGUAUUUAAUUUUAUUUUUGACUCUGUAUUUGUUUUAUUAGUUUUAGUUAUAG